UUAAGCGACUAAGCGUACACGGUGGAUGCCCUGGCAGUCAGAGGCGAUGAAGGACGUGCUAAUCUGCGAAAAGCGUCGGUAAGGUGAUAUGAACCGUUAUAGCCGGCGAUGUCCGAAUGGGGAAACCCAGUGCAAUUCGUUGCACUAUCGUUAACUGAAUACAUAGGUUAACGAGGCGAACCGGGGGAACUGAAACAUCUAAGUACCCCGAGGAAAAGAAAUCAACCGAGAUUCCCCCAGUAGCGGCGAGCGAACGGGGAGCAGCCCAGAGUCUGAAUCAGCUUGUGUGUUAGUGGAACGGUCUGGAAAGUCCGACGGUACAGGGUGAUAGUCCCGUACACCAAAAUGCACAGGCUGUGAACUCGAAGAGUAGGGCGGGACACGUGGUAUCCUGUCUGAAUAUGGGGGGACCAUCCUCCAAGGCUAAAUACUCCUGACUGACCGAUAGUGAACCAGUACCGUGAGGGAAAGGCGAAAAGAACCCCGGCGAGGGGAGUGAAAAAGAACCUGAAACCGUGUACGUACAAGCAGUGGGAGCACCUUCGGGUGUGACUGCGUACCUUUUGUAUAAUGGGUCAGCGACUUAUAUUCUGUAGCAAGGUUAACCGUAUAGGGGAGCCGCAGGGAAACCGAGUCUUAACUGGGCGUUAAGUUGCAGGGUAUAGACCCGAAACCCGGUGAUCUAGCCAUGGGCAGGUUGAAGGUUGGGUAACACUAACUGGAGGACCGAACCGACUAAUGUUGAAAAAUUAGCGGAUGACUUGUGGCUGGGGGUGAAAGGCCAAUCAAACCGGGAGAUAGCUGGUUCUCCCCGAAAGCUAUUUAGGUAGCGCCUCGUGAACUCAUCUUCGGGGGUAGAGCACUGUUUCGGCUAGGGGGUCAUCCCGACUUACCAACCCGAUGCAAACUACGAAUACCGAAGAAUGUUAUCACGGGAGACACACGGCGGGUGCUAACGUCCGUCGUGAAGAGGGAAACAACCCAGACCGCCAGCUAAGGUCCCAAAGUCAUGGUUAAGUGGGAAACGAUGUGGGAAGGCACAGACAGCCAGGAUGUUGGCUUAGAAGCAGCCAUCAUUUAAAGAAAGCGUAAUAGCUCACUGGUCGAGUCGGCCUGCGCGGAAGAUGUAACGGGGCUAAACCAUGCACCGAAGCUGCGGCAGCGACACUAUGUGUUGUUGGGUAGGGGAGCGUUCUGUAAGCCUGCGAAGGUGUGCUGUGAGGCAUGCUGGAGGUAUCAGAAGUGCGAAUGCUGACAUAAGUAACGAUAAAGCGGGUGAAAAGCCCGCUCGCCGGAAGACCAAGGGUUCCUGUCCAACGUUAAUCGGGGCAGGGUGAGUCGACCCCUAAGGCGAGGCCGAAAGGCGUAGUCGAUGGGAAACAGGUUAAUAUUCCUGUACUUGGUGUUACUGCGAAGGGGGGACGGAGAAGGCUAUGUUAGCCGGGCGACGGUUGUCCCGGUUUAAGCAUGUAGGCUGGUUAUCCAGGCAAAUCCGGAUAAUCAAGGCUGAGGUGUGAUGACGAGGCACUACGGUGCUGAAGUAACAAAUGCCCUGCUUCCAGGAAAAGCCUCUAAGCAUCAGGUAACAUCAAAUCGUACCCCAAACCGACACAGGUGGUCAGGUAGAGAAUACCAAGGCGCUUGAGAGAACUCGGGUGAAGGAACUAGGCAAAAUGGUGCCGUAACUUCGGGAGAAGGCACGCUGGUGUGUAGGUGAAGUCCCUGCGGACGGAGCUGAGACCAGUCGAAGAUACCAGCUGGCUGCAACUGUUUAUUAAAAACACAGCACUGUGCAAACACGAAAGUGGACGUAUACGGUGUGACGCCUGCCCGGUGCCGGAAGGUUAAUUGAUGGGGUUAUCCGUAAGGAGAAGCUCUUGAUCGAAGCCCCGGUAAACGGCGGCCGUAACUAUAACGGUCCUAAGGUAGCGAAAUUCCUUGUCGGGUAAGUUCCGACCUGCACGAAUGGCGUAAUGAUGGCCAGGCUGUCUCCACCCGAGACUCAGUGAAAUUGAACUCGCUGUGAAGAUGCAGUGUACCCGCGGCAAGACGGAAAGACCCCGUGAACCUUUACUAUAGCUUGACACUGAACAUUGAGCCUUGAUGUGUAGGAUAGGUGGGAGGCUUUGAAGCGUGGACGCCAGUCUGCGUGGAGCCAACCUUGAAAUACCACCCUUUAAUGUUUGAUGUUCUAACGUUGGCCCCUGACCGGGGUUGCGGACAGUGUCUGGUGGGUAGUUUGACUGGGGCGGUCUCCUCCCAAAGCGUAACGGAGGAGCACGAAGGUUAGCUAAUCCUGGUCGGACAUCAGGAGGUUAGUGCAAUGGCAUAAGCUAGCUUGACUGCGAGCGUGACGGCGCGAGCAGGUGCGAAAGCAGGUCAUAGUGAUCCGGUGGUUCUGAAUGGAAGGGCCAUCGCUCAACGGAUAAAAGGUACUCCGGGGAUAACAGGCUGAUACCGCCCAAGAGUUCAUAUCGACGGCGGUGUUUGGCACCUCGAUGUCGGCUCAUCACAUCCUGGGGCUGAAGUAGGUCCCAAGGGUAUGGCUGUUCGCCAUUUAAAGUGGUACGCGAGCUGGGUUUAGAACGUCGUGAGACAGUUCGGUCCCUAUCUGCCGUGGGCGCUGGAGAAUUGAGGGGGGCUGCUCCUAGUACGAGAGGACCGGAGUGGACGCAUCACUGGUGUUCGGGUUGUCAUGCCAAUGGCACUGCCCGGUAGCUAAAUGCGGAAGAGAUAAGUGCUGAAAGCAUCUAAGCACGAAACUUGCCCCGAGAUGAGUUCUCCCUGAGACUUUAAGUCUCCUGAAGGAACGUUAAAGACGAUGACGUUGAUAGGCCGGGUGUGUAAGCGCAGCGAUGCGUUGAGCUAACCGGUACUAAUGAACCGUGAGGCUUAACCU
rnacentral:rRNA from 1 species